GGGUUGUGAGGUUAAGCGACUAAGCGUACACGGUGGAUGCCCUGGCAGUCAGAGGCGAUGAAGGGCGUGCUAAUCUGCGAUAAGCGCCGGUAAGGUGAUAUGAACCGUUAUAACCGGCGAUACCCGAAUGGGGAAACCCAGUGUGACUCGUCACACUAUCAUUAACUGAAUCCAUAGGUUAAUGAGGCGAACCGGGGGAACUGAAACAUCUAAGUACCCCGAGGAAAAGAAAUCAACCGAGAUUCCCCCAGUAGCGGCGAGCGAACGGGGAGGAGCCCAGAGCCUGAAUCAGCAUGUGUGUUAGUGGAAGCGUCUGGAAAGACGCGCGAUACAGGGUGACAGCCCCGUACACAAAAGCGUAUGUGCUGUGAGCUCGAUGAGUAGGGCGGGACACGUGGUAUCCUGUCUGAAUAUGGGGGGACCAUCCUCCAAGGCUAAAUACUCCUGACUGACCGAUAGUGAACCAGUACCGUGAGGGAAAGGCGAAAAGAACCCCGGCGAGGGGAGUGAAAAAGAACCUGAAACCGUGUACGUACAAGCAGUGGGAGCACAGGUUUACCUGUGUGACUGCGUACCUUUUGUAUAAUGGGUCAGCGACUUAUAUUCUGUAGCAAGGUUAACCGAAUAGGGGAGCCGGAGGGAAACCGAGUCUUAAUUGGGCGUUAAGUUGCAGGGUAUAGACCCGAAACCCGGUGAUCUAGCCAUGGGCAGGUUGAAGGUUGGGUAACACUAACUGGAGGACCGAACCGACUAAUGUUGAAAAAUUAGCGGAUGACCUGUGGCUGGGGGUGAAAGGCCAAUCAAACCGGGAGAUAGCUG
rnacentral:rRNA from 1 species